CAGGGUCAAAGCAACUACAGUGUUUCAGGACAUCAACUGAAGCAGGACCUCUAAUGAUGCUGCAGCUUCACUGUCACAGGAUCUCUACAUUUACAGGAAUACCACUGUGUCAGCAAUUACAAUUUUGCAGGACCUCAGUUGUCACAGGACCUCCACUGUAGCCAAACCUUCAAUGGUGCAGCAUCUCCACUGUAGGUAGAAUGACCUCCCCUAUCGCAGUGCCUCCACUUUCAAAGGACCUUCACUGUCACAGAACCUGCACUAUUUCAGUGCCUCCACUGUUACAGGACCUACCUCUUCACAGGAUCUGCACUGUUGCAGCAACUCUAAUUACACUUUUUCAAAGGCAUUACCAGUUAUUAGAUUUGAGGAUGAAUGGAAUGUAAUGUUACUUUUGAAAACAUAAGAAUUUGUCCUGUAUCACUUGUGAUUAAUGGCCACAUGUGCUAGGACCAGUAACCUAUGGAAGAUCUGAUAGCUCUGUAGCCCUCAUCUUGUUGAAGCUGUUGUCCUUAGAGGGUCAUACAGUUCAGGUGAAGGGAUUGGAUCAGCAAGACAACUCUGUGGAGUGGAGUACAAUUAAGUCGUAUUGAGUCCCAGCUGGGAAAAGGAGAAAUCCACAAGAUGGAGAAGGCUUGUGGUGGAGGAAGAACCGUAAAGUACUUAGAGAGUAUAAGGAGGUAGCCAUACUUUUGGAUGAAUUUGGAAAGCUGUUGACCUUCAACAAGCUCCAUGAUGAGACAUAAUUUUGUUUUGCUCACAAUGACUUGAAGAAGUGAGAUCAUGGUGAGGUGGUCACCCAUCAUCAUCAAUGCCAUGGUCAUUACUGGCUGGCAUCAUUGCUUCUACAUUAGCAGGACUUUGAUGUCCACUAUGCAGCAACUCCACUGUGAUAGAUACUCUGCUGUCUAGGCAACUCCACUUUCUAAGGACUCCAAAUUUGAGGACAUCUACUAGCACAGGAUGUACACAUUUGCUGGACUUUCACUGUUGCAGCAACUCAACUCUUAAGGGAUGCCCACUGUUGCAGGUUUUCCAGUGUCUCAGCCCCGCCACUCUUGAAGGACCUUCACUAUUGUAGGACCUCCACUGUUGAAGCACAUUGAUUAUCUCACCAACUAGAAUUUAUAGGAUGUCAACUGGCACAGAAAGUCCACUGUUGCAUGACCACCAUUCUCACUGAAAAUCUACUGUCUCAGGACCUCUACCUUUGUAGGACCUCCAGUGUAGAAGGAUGUCCACUGUUGCAUGUCCACCACUGUCACAGGACCUCCUCUGUCACAGGACUUCCACUCUUCCAGGCUCAUCUCCACUGUCUCAGGACUUCUACUAUAUCUCUAGGACCUCCAAUGUCGCAGGACC
ensembl:lncRNA